GUAAGAUAGAUAGAUAGAUAGUAAGAUAGAUAGAUAGAUAGAUAGAUAGAUAGAUAGAUAAAUAGAUAGAUAGAUAGAUAGAUAGAUAGAUAGAUAUAUUACGAUCAUUACUAAUUUAAAUCCAAAGAAUUUAUUUGUGUUACAGCUUAAAGAAUUCAUACAUUAAGCAAAAUAAAUCAACAUCUUUUAAUAAACAAAUCCAUGGAUUCAAGAAACCAUUAAGAUUUAAAAAAUAAAACGCAAUGAAAUGAGGAACGCAGACGUGAAGACCAACGUAAACGCCGUUAAACAAAUAAAACAUAUUUAUAAUAACUGGAGAAAAGGGAGAAUGUUUAUUUACUGUAGGCUGAACUGAACUAAAAAGUUAAAAUAAAUACACAUUUUUUUCAAAAAUAUUAAUUUAAUGCAUUUCUUUUUGUUAAAACAUCAUUGUUGUAACUUCUAUAAAAUUUUCAGUUUUUCCCACAUAUCACAAAAAUUAUUCUCAAAAUUCUUGUAAGAACGUUUUAUUGUAAAAAUAAAAAAACAUAAAUAAAUAAAACAAAGUUUUGUGUAAUAGAUA